GUGAGGAAUUUUGCGCAAUGGGGGAAACCCUGACGCAGCAACGCCGCGUGAGUGAUGAAGGCCUUCGGGUCGUAAAGCUCUGUCAGGUGGGAAGAAACAUCUGGGGGUGAACAGCCCUUAGAAUUGACGGUACCACCAGAGGAAGCACCGGCCAACUCCGUGCCAGCAGCCGCGGUAAUACGGAGGGUGCAAGCGUUGUUCGGAAUUAUUGGGCGUAAAGGGCGCGUAGGCGGUCCAAUAAGUCGGAUGUGAAAGCCCUGGGCUCAACCCAGGAAGGGCAUCCGAAACUGCUGGACUUGAGUACGGGAGAGGGAAGUGGAAUUCCUGGUGUAGGGGUGAAAUCCGUAGAUAUCAGGAGGAACACCGGUGGCGAAGGCGACUUCCUGGACCGAUACUGACGCUGAGGCGCGAAAGCGUGGGGAGCAAACAGGAUUAGAAACCCGGGUAGUCC
rnacentral:rRNA from 1 species